rnacentral:rRNA from 2 species
AGUCGAACGCACUCUCGUUUAGAUUGAAGGAGCUUGCUCCUGAUUGAUAAACAUUUGAGUGAGUGGCGGACGGGUGAGUAACACGUGGGUAACCUGCCCUAAAGUGGGGGAUAACAUUUGGAAACAGAUGCUAAUACCGCAUAAAACCUAACACCGCAUGGUGUAGGGUUGAAAGAUGGUUUCGGCUAUCACUUUAGGAUGGACCCGCGGUGCAUUAGUUAGUUGGUGAGGUAAAGGCUCACCAAGACCGUGAUGCAUAGCCGACCUGAGAGGGUAAUCGGCCACACUGGGACUGAGACACGGCCCAGACUCCUACGGGAGGCAGCAGUAGGGAAUCUUCCACAAUGGACGAAAGUCUGAUGGAGCAACGCCGCGUGAGUGAAGAAGGUUUUCGGAUCGUAAAACUCUGUUGUUGGAGAAGAAUGUAUCUGAUAGUAACUGAUCAGGUAGUGACGGUAUCCAACCAGAAAGCCACGGCUAACUACGUGCCAGCAGCCGCGGUAAUACGUAGGUGGCAACCGUUGUCCGGAUUUAUUGGGCGUAAAGCGAGCGCAGGCGGUUUCUUAAGUCUGAUGUGAAAGCCUUCGGCUCAACCGAAGAAAUGCAUCGGAAACUGGGAAACUUGAGUGCAGAAGAAGACGGUGGAACUCCAUGUGUAGGGGUGAAAGGGGGAAUAUAUGGAGGAACACCCCCGGCUAAGGCAGCUGUCUGGUCUGUAACUGACACUAAAGCUCGGUUCCAUAGUAGGGUUCAUCAAUAGAUACCCUCCUCGCGCCGCCCCUUGGGGGAUGACUGGUGCCUCUUGCAGGACGAGGCUCCCCCGGUUUCCAAGGCCCUUCCUAGGGUAAAAACGCAGUCGCUCAGUAAAAAAAAAAAGAAACCCGCUUUGCCUUUAUUUACCU